rnacentral:rRNA from 1 species
AGAUUGAACGCUGGCGGCAGGCCUAACACAUGCAAGUCGAGCGGUAGAGAGGUGCUUGCACCUCUUGAGAGCGGCGGACGGGUGAGUAAUGCCUAGGAAUCUGCCUAGUGGUGGGGGAUAACGUUCGGAAACGGACGCUAAUACCGCAUACGUCCUACGGGAGAAACGCGGGGACCUUCGGGCCUCGCGCCAUUAGAUGAGCCGUAGGUCGGACUAGCUAGUUGUGAGGUAAUGGCUCACCAAGGCGACGAUCCGUAACUGGUACUGAGAGGAUGAUCAGUCACACUGGAACUGAGACGACGGUCCAGUACUCCGUACGGGGAGACAGCGAAGGUGGGGAAUAGUUAGGACAAGUGGGACGAAAGCCUGGACUCCGAGCCAUGCCGCGUGU